rnacentral:lncRNA from 1 species
AAGGAGUCAAAGACGAAAUUGGGUAUUUCAACUUGAGAUGGGGUGGUGGGAUUGAUUUUAUGCACACCAGGUAUUUGUUAAAUUGCCUCACUAGGCUACAUUGCAUGUUCGUACUUAUUUUGUUUGUAGUAAUGAGUAAAGCUCUAGUGAGGGAUUGGUGAAUAAUGGAUUACCUUUAUCAUAAGGUGAGCUUAGGUAUUGCCAUUCUCUGUUAUUGUGUUGUUGUGUUUUGAGUUUGGAUUAAAGCAUGGGUUGUGUUAAUUUCAGAAAAGUGAAAGGAGGAGAACAGCUAGAGGAAGAGUUAGGAGGGGUUGGAAAGCUGCCGAGCCUAUUUGGAUUGUGGAGAUUAGAGCUUAAGGCAUGACUAUGGUUAGUUUGAUCUUAAGGUGAGGAAGGUGUUAGCAAGUUGAAUUUUGGUGUUGUUGUUGUGUUUUGUAACUUGUUUAUAAAUGAAUUGAGUUGACAUGGGAAUUAUAGUUGGUUGUUAGUAAGGGAUCGAGUUGUAGUGUACUGGUGAAAUUGAACUCCAAAUAUUAAAGUGUUGAGUUGGUUUAAGUGUCAAGAAAUAAGGUAUGUUGGUUUGAAAGGAGAUUGCUCUUUUGAUUUUAUUUGAACAUGAGAACAUAGUUAAGUAUUAUGGCACACAAACGAUACCUAUUAUUCUGUAAUCUAUUCCCAUGAAUUGUUCACUACGCCAAUUUUGCAAUCAUACGACAGGGAUCAAACGACAGAAGUAGUUUUUACUGUCGUCUGAUAAAUUUUUACGACAGCCAUUUAAAAUUCUGUCGUCUGAAUGCAACAACGUGCAGACAGUUAAAAUUAACGUGUUCAUAAGAUGACAUAUGACUGUCGUCUUAAAAAUAAGAGAAAUAUAACAAUUAAUAUAGACAUUUUGAGACGACAGAAGAGUAUCGUCUCUAAAAACAAAAAAAAUUGUCUAGGCCGUUGUUUUUACUUAAAUCAACUCUAUUCUAAGUUUUUCUAUAGCAGCGCUCCUUGCUAUAUAUAGUUAUGCUGAGGGAGUCUUCAACAUCAGCGGUAACUCACUAUGUACAUAUUUACAUUUAAAAUCAUUUUAUUAUACAUAUCCAUCGUUUUAUGUUUACAUUUGCAAUUAAAACACUACAUAUUUCGAUAAUAUAUUCAUCAGAUUCAUAUUACAUGCAUCAUAACAAUUAAGGAAGAAGAGGGUUCGCUGUAAGUUAUAGAUUAUAUAUUUGCAAUAGAACCCAAACAGGUAGCUGAUAGUUUUGUUAUUUCUAUUUGUCUAG